rnacentral:rRNA from 1 species
GUGCUGGGCAGACAGACUCUUUAAGUUUGACCUCAAAUCAGGUAGGGUUACCCGCUGAACUUAAGCAUAUCAAUAAGCGGAGGAAAAGAAACCAACUGGGAUUGCCUUAGUAACGGCGAGUGAAGCGGCAAAAGCUCAAAUUUGAAAUCUGGUACCUUUGGUGCCCGAGUUGUAAUUUGGAGAGUACCACUUUGGGACUGUACUUUGCCUAUGUUCCUUGGAACAGGACGUCAUGGAGGGUGAGAAUCCCGUGUGGCGAGGGUGUCAGUUCUUUGUAAAGGGUGCUCGAAGAGUCGAGUUGUUUGGGAAUGCAGCUCUAAGUGGGUGGUAAAUUCCAUCUAAAGCUAAAUACAGGCGAGAGACCGAUAGCGAACAAGUACAGUGAUGGAAAGAUGAAAAGAACUUUGAAAAGAGAGUGAAAAAGUACGUGAAAUUGUUGAAAGGGAAGGGCAUUUGAUCAGACAUGGUGUUUUGCGCCCCUUGCCUCUCGUGGGCUUGGGACUCUCGCAGCUCACUGGGCCAGCAUCGGUUUUGGCGGCCGGAAAAAACCUAGGGAAUGUGGCUCUGCGCCUCGGUGUAGAGUGUUAUAGCCCUGGGGAAUACGGCCAGCCGGGACCGAGGACUGCGAUACUUGUUAUCUAGGAUGCUGGCAUAAUGGUUAUAUUGCCGCCCGGCCUUGAA